ensembl:lncRNA
GCCAAACACCAAAGCACCUUUGUGUGUUCUGUUGGCUGGAGAGUCCCAUGAGAAGGAAUGGUGAAAAAGGAGGCCAAAGGGAUUUCAUGGAGUCAUAGAAUCUUGAUUUCUCUGAGCAGCUGCGUGCCGUAAGCCCAACAAAAUGCCAGGUAUCAAGUGGCGAAUUGGUUAAUUUUGGAAUCAGCCUAAGAAUGCCUACUGAUAAAGGACAGAUUUGUUUUCCAAAGGCUUUCCAAAGAGAGCUUUCUUCGGGCACAGCUACACUCACCCGAACAGCAGUGGCAGCUGAAAAUCUCUCCUGGGAUUCUGGAGAUCUUCACUCCCCCCUCCCGACCUCAGCGCUGCUUUGAAGCCACGAAGGGCCGGCAGCCAACCCCGGAGAUUUCAGCACAUAUUUUCCCUUUGGCUACAGCAGAAUCCACAUCAUCAGCACCGGUUGCACCGCGGCGAGAUGUCGAUGCCGUGCAGCAUCACAGAGGUGACAACGCGACAGCAGCACUGGGAUUUCUGUGUGAGGAAUUGUGGUGAUUGUUCAUUUCUGCGCCGCGCUGAACACGUCCUCAGAGGUUGAGAUGAUAAGUCUAAACCCAUUUAUAUUGUCUAAACUACUUUUUUUGGGGGCUGGGGAAUUGGGUAUUCUCUUUUUUUUUCCAACCACGGAGUUUCAAUCAUCUCAAAUUGCUAAACAGGCUCUUUUUUUUUUUUUUUAAUUAAUUUUAAUUUUAUUUAAUGAAGUGCCCAGGAAGGGAGAGUUCGAAGAUCAUCUGGAACACAAAGGGUUCACACUGUGUAGGCAAAAAGGCUCAUGGUGGCCUACAGCUACACCAUGGCGGUCUAUGGCCAACUCAUGGUGGCCCAUGGCCAACUCAUGGCCUACAGCCAACUCAUGGCACAGAGAUGCGUCAGGGGAGGGUCAGGUGGGUAUUAAGGAAAGGUUCUGCAGCAGAGGAUGGUGGGCACGGAACGGCUUCCCAGGGCAGCAGGCAUAGCCCAGAGCUGCUGGAGUGCUGGGACACCGCUCUAAGACCCUGGGUUUGGAUUUUGGGUGUUGGGUGGGGACAGGGGAUGGACUUGAUUCCAUCCAACUCGGGAUGUUCCAUGGUUAUGAAUCUUGCUUACAUGCCCCAGGGCAUUUCAUAGAGCUCACAGCAGCACAUGACGAUGAUGCAGAUGCUGCCCAAGUGGGGAUAACGGAUCCCACUGUGCUCACCGAGCUCAGAGAGCUGCUCUCCUCAGAAUAAACCUCUCGUGGAGGAGAACCAGGAACACGAACACUUCAGGAACCACUUCGGUUGCUAAGGGACAUUCAUGCAGGAAAACCUGCUGCAGGAGGGAAGCACUGGGCUCUCUGCCCCCAUCUCCCCCAUGCAGCUCACCCUUGUGUCACCCAUGGGGCAGGAUUUACCCUGCCUUUCUGCCCACAAAGGCUGCCCCAAGCAAUAGGGCAGCAUCCAAGGGUGCAGUUCAGCCUGCACCGUGCGUGGUGCAGCCUGCAGAGUCCCUCACAACUCAUUUUCAAUUAAAAAUGCUUUGUGCCUGCUGGACCUGGCAACACUUCAACCCCACAGUGCCCACGAGGUGAAUCCUGCUUUGAGACCCACAGCAAAUUGGGGUGUUGGAAUGGUGACUCCAAAAGGGACUUCUCUGUUGGUCAUCCCAUAUUCAAGGACCGAAGGGCACCCAUGGGCGCCCAACUCUGCCACAUCACUGGGGAAUAGACCCAGUGAAGAGAGCCUGGAUGGAGUCACAGGGAUCCCUCCACCCCUCCACACGUCCCAUGGGGGUUUCCCAGCAAACGCCUCCUCCUGCCGCAUCCGCUGAUGGGAAUCUGCAGCGGUGUGAAGUGGGGCGAGGGCUGAUGGCAGCGCGGAUCUGAACCUCGCACCUUCUGUCCAUCUGACGCCUGGCCCCGUGCCGCCAUCCAGAAGGAAAACUGCUGGAACUGCCCAGGGCUGAGAGCAGAGCGGGGUCCCCGUGUCACCGCGGCGGCCGCGAAUCGGUGCCAUCUGCUGCAACGCGGCCGCGGGGCCACGAGCUCCGUCAGCUGAGAUUUUGAGCACAUACUGCCAAAUUAGUUACAGCAAUGUAAUCACAUCCAUCCACCAGAGAGACCACGAGCAGCUGACAGCGCGAAGCAGAGGUGUGCAGGAAUGCAGAUGGACUGGGACGCGGCCCCGACGCCGCUCAGCAUUAAUUGUUGGGAGAAGUCCCCGUUGGAGGCUCUCAUUGGGUUGGAGAAGUUCAUCUUCAGCCAUUGCCACUCAAGGAGGAGAGAGCGUUCCAUUAUCCCCAUUAUCAGGAAGCAUCUUCCUGCUGCUUUUUAAAUGCAGAGCAGCAGUACCUCUCACAAUGCCUGGCUUGCUCCGCCGGGAUCACCAAAUUGACUGCUUCCGUGUAGGAGUGAGGCUGUGCCACAGCUCGUGUGCCUAUUAUUCCUAGUAGAAAUAAAUAAUAAUAAAGCAGUGAUCUCUCUCCAUUCCUCCAG